rnacentral:rRNA from 1 species
CCCUUAGAUGUUCUGGGCCGCACGCGCGCUACACUGAUGAAUUCAACGAGCACUAACCUGUGCCGAAAGGUUCGGGUAAUCUUGUGAAAUUUCAUCGUGAUGGGGAUUGAUUAUUGCAAUUUUUAAUCAUAAACGAGGAGUGCCUAGUAAGCGUGAGUCAUCAGCUCACGUUGAUUACGUCCCUGCCCUUUGUACACACCGCCCGUCGCUCCUACCGAUUGAAUGUGCCAGUGAAAAGUUCGGAUUGGAGAUAGGAAACGGCAACGUAUCCUAUUUCCGAGAAAAUCUUUAAACUUUCCCAUUUAGAGGAAGGAGAAGUCGUAACA